CUCGGCCCCGCCGGGCUCGGCCCCGCCGCCCUUGGCGGCCAUGAGGGCGCCGCGGGAGAGGCGCUCGCAGAGCCAGGCGAGGAGCAGCCCCAGCUGGCAGGCCACGAAGCGCAGCAGGGCGAAGGCGGCGACGAGCGGGUCUGCCAGUAGCUGACAGAGUAGAAAGGUGUGCUUCUCUCUCUUGUUUGUAUAGAGUUAGAGGCAAGCCUGAUAUCCAGCCAAGAUGGACAAAGGAGAAGGACAAAGCCUGGGAGGAAGACUAUGAGCCUUCAGCACGAGAGACCCCCAGAGGGACCACCGGGGACUGAUAGGCAUGUGCCAGUGGGAGGGUUCGGAAUCCGGGAACUAAUUAUAGUAACACUGCCUUUUCUAGAAGUAGUAAUGAACAUGUAUUAGCCUAGGAGCAGAAAAAGCUGCCGCCUGAUGUAACGUGUAUGCGUGUUGGAGGAGCCCAGACUCCCCGCGCACCCAGUGCUCUUUACUUGCCUUGUAUUAACCCCAUAAAUAAAUCUCAUAAAGCUAA